CAUGGGGGGGCCGGUUUGGUUGACUGCGGCCUUCGCUGUCCCGCCUGGCACCGCUUCCCUCGCGCGCGGAGCGGCCUGGGCCGCUCAGAGGAUCCAAGCCGCGGGGCGGGGCCGGUGGCUACAGCGGAAAGUUAAUUUAUUUGGAUUUUUUAUGCUUUGGCUAGUGUUCCUGAAUUUCUUUGGCAUUUUUGUCAGAAGAAGGUCUGUCAGGAAGGAGCUGGACAGGUUAUUUUCACGUUUUACUCCAAAGACCUCUCAUUUGUAACUUUCUCACACAGAACAAGCGAAUAUGACUCUGGUGGAAACGUUAAAAUCAAUGCAAUGGCAAGUUAAUUACAAACCAUUUUUCAAAGCACAAAUCAAAUUGGAUGGAAAUACAGAUUGACAAGCACAGAAAGUGCAUCAUGGCCUAACAGCAUUACCAUUACACUGAAUACUGGCAGCAUUUUCCACAGGCCAGGGUGAUUUUAGCUGAUAUCUCACUCCUCAGGGUAACAGAGGCAGAGUGAGACCAGCUGCUGCUGACAUCCCUAAGCCACCCGGGCUUGUAUGCUGCUAGCCUGUAUACUUCAAUGGUGCCCGAUGAAGUUAUCGCUGAGCGGCGUGGGAAAAUGUCCUACUGUGGAGGAAGCAAUAAGGCUGCCAUUCCUAGAAUCCUUCAGAAGAGGAUUGCAGAGGACCUCCAUGAAAGUUUCACUGAGAUCUCAGGAGGAUUCAAGGGACAUCCCUGGGUACAUAAACAAAUGGCUCUGCAUAGCCCCUGCGCCUAACCCUCCAUGCUUGCCCGUGUUGGACUGGCUAGACUGCGGUGGAGUCAAAAACAGGUCCUGGCUCACUGUGCAGCUGGAUCCCCUGGUUGCCUUCUCCCAUACUCUUCCUCCAGCUCUUCCUCAUCCACCACCUUUUCCUCCUCACUGUUCAUGGCAUGGGCCUGGGACUCAGGCUCCUUGGAGGUAUCCCCGGUGUUGUGAAGGGUGGUGACUGGGUUUCCAUCCAGUUGGGCAUGCAGCUCUUUGUAAAAGCAGCAGGUCUGCAGCUCGGCAACAGAUCGAUUGUCAGCCUCCCUGACCUGGUGUGCCUGUCACAGCUCCUUGGCUUUCACGUGGCGCUGCUGCUGGUCCCUGUCCUACCCCUUCUCCUGCAUCCCCCAAGCAACGUGCUCUUAGGUGUCACUGUUUCCGUGGCUGGUUCGGCACUGUGCCUGCACAGCCUCUUCUCCCCACAGGCCCAGGAGAUCCAACACCUCCUGUCUACUCCAGGCUGGAGCGCAUCUGGAGUACGUAGCCAACAUUGUAAGGAUAAGGCCUUUUUCUGUAGCCAUAUUGUGAGGCCUAAGGCCUUUGUCUGCAGCCAUUUUAGGAGAGCAGCAGCCAUUAGCCAAGAAGCAGAAAGACACAUCCUCACUUUCCGUUUAAAUUACAUUAAAACAAUGUAACAUCGGGCUGUUAAGAAGGAGAUCCUGACCUAAUAGCACCCACUAUCACCAGAUAAAGAAACUGAUCUUAAGAUGGUUAAAGAACACUUAGUUUGACAGCAUUCAGUAUGGCAAGAAACCACUUAGCAGUAACUGUGAUUGUGAAAUUCUCAUUUCUUUAUUGUUUUGUUUUUAUGGUCCCCACUUCUUUAUUGUUUCUCUGUAUGAUCUCUGGUUCUUUGAUUGUUUCUGUCUUACUUAAUUAAUUUUGCUAGGUGUAAAUUAAUUAAGGUAGUGGGGUAUGAUUGGUUAGAGAGUUUUAUUGCAAUAUGUUAGGAUUGGUUAGUAAAAUUUAGUAAAAUGAUUGGUUAUGUAGGACUCAAGUUUCACUAUAUAAACUAGGGUCCAAAAGGAAUUUCUUGGGAACCAACUCCAGGACACAGCCCCAGGAUCAGAGCUGCCAGACCUCACACUCUGCCAAUCACACCGUGCAGAAACUGGAUUCCCCCAGAUGACCUGAUCCUGAUUGGCCAGCAGGGAAAAGUUCCUCAGUCUUAUUGGGACUGGGAGUGGUACUGCCCGUGGCGAGGCUGCAGAAUCUGGACUGGUGAGAUCAGCGAUGGACAUCAACGGUGGAUCACAGAUGUCAAAGACAGGUAAGUAACCCUAUCUCAGACCCAUCCUAUCGCUCUUUGCGUCGGCUAUGCGUGAGUGUCAGA